CCUACGGGUGGCAGCAGUAGGGAAUCUUCCACAAUGGGCGAAAGCCUGACGGAGCAACGCCGCGUGGGUGAUGAAGGUCUUCGGAUCGUAAAACCCUGUUUUUAGGGAAGAAAAUACGUGGAAGUAACUAUCCACGUCUCGACGGUAUCUAAUCAGAAAGCCACGGCUAAUUACGUGCCAGCAGCCGCGGUAAUACGUAGGUGGCAAGCGUUAUCCGGUUUUAUUGGGCGUAAAGGGGGCGUAGGCGGUCUUUUAAGUCUGAUGUGAAAGGCCACGGCUUAACCGGUGAAGGGCAUUGGAAACUGGGGGACUUGAGUGCAGAAGAGGAAAGUGGAA
rnacentral:rRNA from 1 species